CCUACGGGAGGCAGCAGUGGGGAAUAUUGCGCAAUGGGCGAAAGCCUGACGCAGCGACGCCGCGUGAGGGAUGAAGGUCUUCGGAUCGUUAACCUCUGUCAGCAGGGAAGAACGGUCACUGUGCUAAUCAGCAGUGAAUUGACGGUACCUGCAAAGAACGCAUCGGCUAACUCCGUGCCAGCAGCCGCGGUAAUACGGAGGGUGCGUGCGUUAAUCGGAAUUACUGGGCGUAAAGGGUUCGUGGGCGGCAUGUGAAGUCAGGUGUUAAAGGCGCAGGCUCAACCUGUGUAUGGCAGUUGAUACUUGCAAGCUGGAAUGCGGUAGAGGUACAGGGAAUGCGUGGUGUAGCGGUGAAAUGCAUAGAUAUCAGGAGGAACAUCGGUGGCGUAAGCGCUUUACUGGGCCGUAAUUGACGCUGAGGAACGAAAGCCAGGGUAGCAAAUGGGAUUAGAUACCCUUGUAGUC
rnacentral:rRNA from 1 species